UACGAGAGGUCCAAACGUUAUUCGGAAUUACUGGGCUUACAGAGUUCGUAGGCGGCUCUACAAGUGAGGUGUGAAAGCCCUCGGCUCAACCGAGGAACUGCGCUUCAAACUGUAGAACUAGAGGGAGAUAGAGGUGAGCAGAACUGAUGGUGGAGCGGUGAAAUGCGUUGAUAUCAUCAGGAAUACCGGAGGCGAAGGCGGCUCACUGGGUCUCUUCUGACGCUGAGGAACGAAAGCGUGGGGAGCGAACAGG
rnacentral:rRNA from 1 species